rnacentral:misc_RNA from 1 species
UUUCCGUAGGUGAACCUGCGGAAGGAUCAUUCAUAAUAAAGUGUUUUAUGGCACUUUUUAAAAAUCCAUAUCCACCUUGUGUGCAAUGUUAGAUCUCGUCAAUCUUGGCGAGAUUUUUAUACAUCAACUCAUUUUUUAACUAAUUUGUCUGAAAAAUAUCAUGAGUACUUAAUUCAAAAUACAACUUUCAACAACGGAUCUCUUGGCUCUC